GACGAACGCUGGCGGCGUGCUUAACACAUGCAAGUCGAACGGAAAGGCCCCUUUGGGGGUACUCGAGUGGCGAACGGGUGAGUAACACGUGAGUAACCUGCCCUUGACUUCGGGAUAACUUCAGGAAACUGGGGCUAAUACCGGAUAGGAAUCCUUGCUGCAUGGUGGGGGUUGGAAAGCUUCGGCGGUUUUGGAUGGACUCGCGGCUUAUCAGCUUGUUGGUGGGGUAGUGGCUUACCAAGGCUUUGACGGGUAGCCGGCCUGAGAGGGCGACCGGCCACAUUGGGACUGAGAUACGGCCCAGACUCCGACGGGAGGCAGCAGUGGGGAAUAUUGCACAAUGGGCGGAAGCCUGAUGCAGCAACGCCGCGUGCGGGAUGACGGCCUUCGGGUUGUAAACCGCUUUCAGCAGGGGCGAAGCUUGUGGUGACGGUACCUGCAGAAGAAGCACCGGCUAACUA
rnacentral:rRNA from 1 species